AAAGAAUAAUUGAGAAAUAUUUUACUUAAUUUCUAAAUACAAAUAUUUUGGGUCAGACAAAUAAAAUAGAACAACAAAAGCCCCAAUUCAAUUUCAUUUGGGGAAUAGAACGAAAUCGGAGGAAGAAUUAAGAAGAAGAAAAAGAUGAUCUAUCGGAAGUGGAGUCUCCUUACAGGUCCGACGGCUAUCCUCGCUGGCGUAGUUGCUACAGUCGCCGUCGCUAACUUCAUCUUGGUCAAGAAUGACCCAUUCACUAAACCAGAGGAGAGGAAGUUUGGAAAUCAACCUGCAACCAAGUAGUAGAAAAGAUGUCACUGUGGUUUGUGUUUUGAUGUAAUCUAAACAUUGAUUUAUGUAUGCUGUUUUGCAAGACAUAUGCUCUCUUAGUUAAUAAAUUCUCAGGUGUCGAGUGGAGUCUGGAUUCUGUAGCAUGGACCCUGGUUUGGAACUAAACUAAAAAAGUUAAAGAACUGGUUCAUAUUUCAGAGAUCCAUAGUUCUUCUUUUGUACAACAAUGUCAAAUGCAAAUGUGUAAUAAUCUUCCGUUUCUUUUCUUUUA